GUCAGGAUGGCCGAUCGGUCUAAAUCGCUGCGUUCAUGACUCGGUUUUGGAGUGGGUUCGAAUCCCACUUCUGAUU